rnacentral:rRNA from 1 species
UACGUAGGCAGCGAGCGUUGUUCGGAAUUACUGGGCGUAAAGAGUGUGUAGGCGGUGCUCCCAGUCUGUUGUGAAAUCUCCCGGCUUAACUGGGAGGGUGCAGCGGAAACUAGAGUGCUAGAGGGUGGGAGAGGUAAGCGGAAUUCCUGGUGUAGCGGUGAAAUGCGUGAGAUAUCAGGAGGAACACCUGUGGUGUAGACAGCUUACUGGACCACUUCUGACGCUGGAGACACGAAAGCGUGGUAGCAAACAGG